rnacentral:rRNA from 1 species
GAUGAACGCUGGCUACAGGCUUAACACAUGCAAGUCGAGGGGAAACGACGGGGAAGCUUGCUUCCCCGGGCGUCGACCGGCGCACGGGUGAGUAACGCGUAUCCAACCUGCCUCUGACUGAGGGAUAACCCGUCGAAAGUCGGCCUAAUACCUCAUGGCAUCGUCUGCGGGCAUCCAACGACGAUUAAAGAUUUCAUCGGUCAGAGAUGGGGAUGCGUCUGAUUAGCUUGUUGGCGGGGUAACGGCCCACCAAGGCGACGAUCAGUAGGGGUUCUGAGAGGAAGGUCCCCCACAUUGGAACUGAGACACGGUCCAAACUCCUACGGGAGGCAGCAGUGAGGAAUAUUGGUCAAUGGGCGAGAGCCUGAACCAGCCAAGUAGCGUGCAGGAUGACGGCCCUAUGGGUUGUGAACUGCUUUUAUGCGGGGAUAAAGUGAGGGACGUGUCCUUCAUUGCAGGUACCGCAUGAAUAAGGACCGGCUAAUUCCGUG